rnacentral:misc_RNA from 1 species
CCGAGUGCGGGUCUGCCCCCUGGGCGCCCAACCUCCCACCCGUGACUACGUGACCAUGUUGCUUCGGCGGGGAGCGCCCCCCAGCCCCCCCCUCCCCGGGGGGGAAAGGGGCCCGCCGCCGGGGACCACUGAACUUCUUGUCUGAGCAUGUUGCAGUCUGAGCUUUGAUAGCAAAAAUCAGUCA